UUAAUUGAAGCCAAAAUAGAGGCAUAUCACUGUUAAUGAUAUUACUGAAUCACUAUUCCAAUUAAG
rnacentral:tRNA from 1 species